rnacentral:rRNA from 1 species
GAUGAACGCUGGCGGCGUGCCUAAUACAUGCAAGUCGAGCGAACAGACGAGGAGCUUGCUCCUCUGACGUUAGCGGCGGACGGGUGAGUAACACGUGGAUAACCUACCUAUAAGACUGGGAUAACUUCGGGAAACCGGAGCUAAUACCGGAUAAUAUAUUGAACCGCAUGGUUCAAUAGUGAAAGACGGUUUUGCUGUCACUUAUAGAUGGAUCCGCGCCGCAUUAGCUAGUUGGUAAGGUAACGGCUUACCAAGGCAACGAUGCGUAGCCGACCUGAGAGGGUGAUCGGCCACACUGGAACUGAGACACGGUCCAGACUCCUACGGGAGGCAGCAGUAGGGAAUCUUCCGCAAGGGGCGAAAGCCUGACGGAGCAACGCCGCGUGAGUGAUGAAGGUCGUCGGAUCGUAAAACUCUGUUAUUAGGGAAGAACAAAUGUGUAAGUAACUAUGCACGUCUUGACGGUACCUAAUCAGAAAGCCACGGCUAACUACG